rnacentral:rRNA from 1 species
UACUCCUACGGGGAGGCAGCAGUGGGGAAUAUUGCACAAUGGGCGGAAGCCUGAUGCAGCGACGCCGCGUGAGGGAUGACGGCCUUCGGGUUGUAAACCUCUUUCAGCAGGGAAGAAGCCACAAGUGACGGUACCUGCAGAAGAAGCGCCGGCUAACUACGUGCCAGCAGCCGCGGUAAUACGUAGGGCGCAAGCGUUGUCCGGAAUUAUUGGGCGUAAAGAGCUCGUAGGCGGUUUGUCGCGUCUGCUGUGAAAGCCCGGGGCUCAACCCCGGGUCUGCAGUGGGUACGGGCAGACUAGAGUGCAGUAGGGGAGACUGGAAUUCCUGGUGUAGCGGUGAAAUGCGCAGAUAUCAGGAGGAACACCGAUGGCGAAGGCAGGUCUCUGGGCUGUUACUGACGCUGAGAGCGAAGGCUUUCCCCAU